rnacentral:rRNA from 1 species
UACGUAGGUGGCAAGCGUUGUCCGGAUUUACUGGGCGUAAAGAGCGCGCAGGCGGCCUGAUCAGUCGAAUGUGAAAGCCCCCGGCUUAACUGGGGAGGGUCAUUCGAUACUGUCAGGCUCGAAGGCAGGAGAGGGAAGCGGAAUUCCCGGUGUAGUGGUGAAAUGCGUAGAUAUCGGGAGGAACACCAGUGGCGAAGGCGGCUUGCCAGAAUGCGCUCGACGGUGAGGGAUGAAAGCUGGGGGAGCAAACCGG